UAGCUCUUAGCAAUUAGUAAACACACACGUUCCUGACCUCGAGGAAUUUCCAGAGCAUUUGUCCCUUCUUUUCUUCUGUGUUUGGUUGUAUUGCUUCCAUAACUUCUCAGAUGGCAGUCUCUUGUCUGAUUAUGUGCUCCGUGUGCCCCAACAGGACGGCAGGAGUCUGGCGUGGCUUGGGAGUGAGCUGGAGUGAGGGGUGAAGCGACACCUCCUUCCACCCGGGACGCAGACGCGAGCUGUAGGAAAAACAGAUCCCACUGCCGGCACCAUGACCUCAGGAGCCCAUGGACUCAGCCCGGAGAGCGAAGCACUUGUCGAGGAAGUCAUUGAGUCUUUCCAGAACUCAAUGAGCCGAGAGGAACUGCACUUCUUGCUGACUGACCAUGAAGCCUGGGACCGAUUCGUGGCUGAGGCCACGUUGUCCAGGUAACGCCCGGGAUGCCACAGGAUGGUCACGCAGGUCUGUGCAGGGCAGUAUCCUGGGGUUGGGGUUGAGUAUGCUCCUUCUCAAGAAUCCACGAGGAAUAUGUCUUCCCUGACAUUUGUUGGCAAUGAAUGGCCUUGGUUUGAGAAGAGGCAAAACCUGCAGAAGGCAGGUGAUGGGACCUUGGCCUUAACACAAAGGAGACCUAUCUCUGCCUUGGUCUCUUGUUUCAUCAUGAAGUAAUGAAGAUAAUGCAUGUAAAGGCCUUAGCAUAGUGACUGGCACAUAGUAGUUGCUCAGUUAAUGUUAACUUUGUAGGAGAUUGCUGAGAAGAGACAGGGGCCAAGGGUCUUCUUUCUGGAGAUGAGGGCCAAGCACGGCUUCCUCUGGACAAGUGCAAAGAACACUGACACCUCAGCCUGUGAGCCUGGGGAUUCAGACUAGAGCCUUCCCUCCCCAUCUAAGGAGUUCUAGGAACAUGCAGGAUCCUUGGCCCAUGAGGUGCGGAGGCAGGAGUGAAAUUGGACUGAGCAGAGUUGGAUCCUGACUCUAUCUCUGCCCAGCUCUGGGGCUCUGGGGCUCUGGGGCUGGAUGUCUUGGAGUCUCAGAUUUGUCAUUUAUUCAAUG